CUACGGGGGGCUGCAGUGGGGAAUAUUGCACAAUGGGCGCAAGCCUGAUGCAGCCAUGCCGCGUGUAUGAAGAAGGCCUUCGGGUUGUAAAGUACUUUCAGCGGGGAGGAAGGGAGUAAAGUUAAUACCUUUGCUCAUUGACGUUACCCGCAGAAGAAGCACCGGCUAACUCCGUGCCAGCAGCCGCGGUAAUACGGAGGGUGCAAGCGGUAAUCGGAAUUACUGGGCGUAAGGCGCACGCAGGCGGUUUGUUAAGUCAGAUGUGAAAUCCCCGGGCUCAACCUGGGAACUGCAUCUGAUACUGGCAAGCUUGAGUCUCGUAGAGGGGGGUAGAAUUCCAGGUGUAGCGGUGAAAUGCGUAGAGAUCUGGAGGAAUACCGGUGGCGAAGGCGGCCCCCUGGACGAAGACUGACGCUCAGGUGCGAAAGCGUGGGGAGCAAACAGGAUUAGAUACCCCUGUAGUC
rnacentral:rRNA from 1 species